rnacentral:rRNA from 1 species
GACGAACGCUGGCGGCGUGCCUAAUACAUGCAAGUUGAGCGAUGACGCUUGGUGCUUGCACCCAUUUGAAGAGCAGCGAACGGGUGAGUAACGCGUGGGGAAUCUGCCUUUGAUCGGGGGACAACAUUUGGAAACGACUGCUAAUACUGCCUCACAACUUUAAACAUAAGUUUUAAGUUUUCAAGAUGCAAUUGCCUCACUCAAAGAUGAUUCCGCGGUGUAUUAGCUAGGUGGUGAGGUAAAGGCUCACCAAGGCGAUGAUACAUAGCCGACCUGAGAGGGUGGACGGCCACAAUUGGACUGAGACAAGGCCCAAACUUCUACGGGAGGCAGCAGGAGGGAAACUUCGGCAAUGGAGGAAAAUCUUACCGCAGAACGCCGCGGGAGUGAAGGAGGGUUUCGGAUCGUAAAACUCUGUUUGUAGAGAAGAACGGUGGGGAGAGUGGAAAGCUCAUCAAGUGACGGUAACUACCCAGAAAGCAACGGCUAACUACGUG